UACAGAGGGUGCUAGCGUUGUCCGGAUUUAUUGGGCGUAAAGAGCGUGUAGGCGGCUAGGUAGGUCCGUUGUGAAAACUCGAGGCUCAACCUCGAGACGCCGAUGGAAACCAUCUAGCUAGAGUCCGGAAGAGGAGAGUGGAAUUCCUGGUGUAGCGGUGAAAUGCGCAGAUAUCAGGAGGAACACCGAUGGCGAAGGCAGGUCUCUGGGCCACUACUGACGCUGAGAAGCGAAAGCAUGGGGAGCGAACAGG
rnacentral:rRNA from 1 species